CCCCUCUCAGGGUUGCACCUGGAGUGUUUCCAGUACUCUACCAGUCUCAGCUACAGGAGGGAGAGUCAAGCAGAGGUCUACUCAUUCCAUUCUUAGCUUGGCCAGUGGUUAGCGAGUGGAAGGCAAUCUGCUACUAGU